rnacentral:sRNA from 14 species
CUCCAACAUCUGUCACCCCAUUGAUUGCCAGGGUUCAGCUGAUUUGGCCAGCUAGACAGAUGUUC